CAGGCGCGAAAACUUUGCAAUGUGCGAAAGCACGACAAGGUUAAUCCGAGUGAUUUGUGCUAAACGAAUCUUUUGUUAGUCCUAGAAACACUAACGAAUAAGGGGUGGGCAAGUUCUGGUGUCAGCCGCCGCGGUAAAACCAGCACCUCAAGUGGUCAGGAUGAUUAUUGGGCCUAAAGCAUCCGUAGCCGGCUCUGUAAGUUUUCGGUUAAAUCUGUACGCUUAACGUACAGGCUGCCGGGAAUACUGCAGAGCUAGGGAGUGGGAGAGGUAGACGGUACUCGGUAGGAAGGGGUAAAAUCCUUUGAUCUAUUGAUGACCACCUGUGGCGAAGGCGGUCUACCAGAACACGUCCGACGGUGAGGGAUGAAAGCUGGGGGAGCAAACCGGAUUAGAUACCCGGGUAGUCCCAGCUGUAAACUAUGCAAACUCAGUGAUGCAUUGACUUGUGGUCAAUGCAGUGCUGCAGGGAAGCC
rnacentral:rRNA from 1 species